UGAUGGUGACAACACGACUUUCGUGAUAUAUGCACUCACAUCCAUAUAUAUAUAUAUAUAUACCCCGAAUAGUUGAUAGAGUAUCAUUUGAUUUGAAUAUGAUUGAAAACUGAAAAUAAUAAUAAUAAUAAUAAUAAAAAAAAUAUUAUAAAUAAUGAAAAAUAUUAAAUCUUAAGAGCCAUCGUUAGCAUGUAUUAGGCAUAUAAGACCCAUCAUCAGCAUACAAGAUCACAAAUGCAUGGGAUCCUAUGAUUUAUGGUGUGCAGACGAAGAAUAGCCAAGGAAGCAGACAGUAAGGCUGCAGUGUGUCGUAGACACUAUCAUUAAAACACAAGACUACUCCCAAGAUGAAGGAAGCCACGUUCGUAUGCAACCAAAGAGAAGUGGCAGGCCAAAAGACCCCUUAUCACCAUGCAUGCAUGCAUCCAAAGGCUAUAAAAGAAGCCUAGGACCUAUAAAGGAGAUGCAUCAUGGACAUGGAGAAAGGUGAGGUAAAUAAUGCAUGGGAGCACUAUUUGAGCCAGCCAUGGUGCCUAUAUAAGGAGGCUCUUUGCAGCAUUGGAGGACACACAACCAUCGAGCACAACACAAGCCUUCAGAACAGCAAGUAGUUCAGGGCAGUUAGCCAGAAAACUAUCUGCUUUCUAGUAGUAGUAGUACCACUUCCCACUGUAAUAAAGCCUGUGUAAUCAAGGCAUUUGUAACAUAAGACUCUGAAUAUAUAGAUCUGAAGAUAAACGAAGCACUAGAAGAUGCCUCAAAAAUAUGGAAAGAAGAGUUAAAAGAAGAAAUUUUCAAAGAAUUACGACUUGAACUCAUGCAAAAAUUUGAAGAUAUGAAAAAAGAACAUGAUUUAAAAAUUGAACUAAAUCUUUCAAAAUUUGAUUUUAAUCUUUCAGAAGAUGAUCACAUGGAUAUUGCAGGCCACGGGCAAAAACCAGAGUUUUAAUUGAUAUUACUAUCAAUUAUUCGGGCGGGGAGGACAUAUACACCUAUACCCCGAAUAGUUGAUAGUAAUACCAAUUAAAACUCUGGUUUUUGCCCGUGGCCUGCAAUAUCCAUGUGAUCAUCUUCUGAAAGAUUAAAAUCAAAUUUUGAAAGAUUUAGUUCAAUUUUUAAAUCAUUGAAAGAUAUUUAUUCGGGCGGGGAGGACAUAUACACCUAUACCCCGAAUAGUUGAUAGAGUAUCAUUUGAUUUGAAUAUGAUUGAAAACUGAAAAUAAUAAUAAUAAUAAUAAUAAUAAAAAAUAUUAUAAAUAAUGAAAAAUAUUAAAUCUUAAGAGCCAUCGUUAGCAUGUAUUAGGCAUAUAAGACCCAUCAUCAGCAUACAAGAUCACAAAUGCAUGGGAUCCUAUGAUUUAUGGUGUGCAGACGAAGAAUAGCCAAGGAAGCAGACAGUAAGGCUGCAGUGUGUCGUAGACACUAUCAUUAAAACACAAGACUACUCCCAAG
rnacentral:lncRNA from 1 species